UGGGAGUCUGAACAAUGUAUCAGAACCGAGCCGCUCCUGACAUGGGGAUACACACAGUAGGUGAGCAUGCUCACUGAAGCGGAGGGGCGGAGUUACAGAGCAUUCCGGAAGCAGAGAGGCCGAUGUGCAGAACAUUCCUGCAGGGCGUAGCAGGAUAAAAAAGAAAAACUCUUCAGGAGCAAGAAGGAAAAGAAACAUUCACUGCUAAGAAGGUUCAGAACUGGCCUACUUUGCUCUGGUGAGUGAGAAGAAACUGGGCCGAGGGGGAAAAAAAAAUCAAGAGGCACCAACCUGACACACAAUGGCAACAAUAUGAGGUGGAGAAAGUCCCCCUCCAAGGCUAAGGGUAUUGCUCGGUAGUAGAGAGCUUGCCUGGCAUGUGUGAGGCCCUCAGUUAAUCCCCAGCACAGAAGGAAAAAAAAAAGAAAAUGUGCUGCUGUAACAAAACCAUAAAAGGCUGUAUGAGUUGGAAUCUGGAGGAUCUAAAGAGAAUGAAUAUAGAGCAGCAAUUUUUCUGUGCCAAAGAAUCUUAUGCUGCCCUCUCUCUUCCUCGCUGGAAUUCUCACUCUUCCCAUGUUCAGGAGAAAAGAGCCACCAGUUUGGGAGAGCGUAUCUUGGUGCAGAUAACAGAAGGUGCUUUUGUUAGAUACCAUGGACCCCUCUCCGCUUCCUCUGGAACAAAGCCUUCCGACUGAGUUGCUGGUAAUGCUGAGCAUUUCAACAAAGCAGAAGCAACAUCUCUUGUGAACUUGUUAAAUAAUUAGGAGAUACUGCAAGAACUAUAUGAAAACUAUGUAAAC